rnacentral:lncRNA from 1 species
UUGAGUCACUCUUUUACCUUUGGCGCCUAACCGGCAACAAGACAUACCAAGACUGGGGUUGGAAUAUAUUUCAAGCUUUUGAGAAGAACUCUCGCAUAGAGUCAGGCUAUGUUGGACUAAAGGAUGUAAGUACACCUCAGUUUCACAUUUAAUUAUAUGUUUGUGCUUGCGUUAUUGUUGUUUUGUACUCUCUGUCUUGAGUGUCACUUUUGCAAAAAAAAAAAAUGUCUCACAAUAAGGGCCACUUUGUUUUUUUUUAAUAUAUCAUUACUCCCAAAUCAAUACUAUGUGCAUCACUAUUUUUAGCUUCUAUAUCACAUGUUGUUGUCUCACUUUCAAGGUUAACACUGGCGUUAAAGACAACAUGAUGCAAAGUUUCUUUCUUGCGGAGACACUGAAGUAUCUUUAUCUUCUCUUUUCGCCUUCUUCGG